AGUGCUUGGUGGGAUUUUGCUGAUGUGG
rnacentral:piRNA from 1 species